ACUCAAAGGAAUUGACGGGGACCCGCACAAGCGGUGGAGCAUGUGGUUUAAUUCGAUGCAACGCGAAGAACCUUACCUGGCCUUGACAUCCCCGGAACCCCGCAGAGAUGUGGGGGUGCCUUCGGGAACCGGGAGACAGGUGCUGCAUGGCUGUCGUCAGCUCGUGUCGUGAGAUGUUGGGUUAAGUCCCGCAACGAGCGCAACCCUUGUCCCUAGUUGCCAGCACUUCGGGUGGGCACUCUAGGGAGACCGCCGGUGACAAAUCGGAGGAAGGUGGGGACGACGUCAAGUCAUCAUGGCCCUUAUGGCCAGGGCUACACACGUGCUACAAUGGCCGGUACAGAGGGUUGCCAACCCGCGAGGGGGAGCCAAUCCCAGAAAGCCGGUCGUAGUCCAGAUCGGAGUCUGCAACUCGACUCCGUGAAGCCGGAAUCGCUAGUAAUCGCGAAUCAGCAUUGUCGCGGUGAAUACGUUCCCGGGUCUUGCACACACCGCCCGU
rnacentral:rRNA from 1 species